GCCUCGGUAGCUCAGUAGUAGAGCAGACGCCUGAAGAGCGUCGUGUCGGGGGUGCGAUUCCCUCCCGAGGCACAA
rnacentral:tRNA from 1 species